GUCCGAUGAUUUUUUGUCUUUUAAACCAGAAAGACGGCUGACAGAUCUAACCGACACUCGCGCCACAGAAACUAAUUGAACAGAGCAAAGGCAGCGUGGAGUGCUGGGAUGUCAAAGGCCACAAGAUGGCUGCAAUACUACGGGCCUAAAGUGAA